UAACCCUCAGGAAUGCUUGAGGAGUCACGGUGAGUCAGGGAGGUAUUGAGGGGGAGGGAGGGUCCACUCAGUUCUCAGCAGUGCCACAUCACCUCGUCUCCCCUUUACCCAGGUGUAGCCCGACACGGCCACGUCGGUCUCGGAGCACGGCCGAAGCGUGCGGGCCGAGGAGCCGGUCAUCCUUAGGAGGCUACUAGGAGGCAGCAGCCCAGUGACAGCAGGAACCUCCCAGACAGCCCGGUGGUCUUCCUUUGCACCCGCUGUGGAUUCUCAUUCCUGGACAGCCAAGAGAUAAGUCGAGGGCUGUGACUUACAGAAGGGAUGGAAGGGGGCUGCUGUGUCAGGACUCACCAGGUGGGAUUUUUGAGUCAGCUUUGGAGCUGAGGAUAGCCAGGAAAUAUUGUCUUGAGGCCACACAAAAGCCAAGUGUCAUUUUUGAUCCCGGCGCUGACGUGCGCAGGGCAGAGCAGUCCCGGUGUGUGUUGUGUCAUGUGGCUAUUGUGCAUUAUGUGUUGUUUAAUGUCUUUUCCCUUAGCCCUUUGAGGGGCCUAACAGAAACCCUGGCAUCAUUCUUAGGAUCUGUGAUCUCUGCAUUUCUUGGCCUGGCACCAAUGCGAGAGGACUUUUGGCUUAGGAGCUGAGACAGGCAUCAGAAUUGCAUUUCUCUUUAGGAGCAUCUGGUGUGAUGUCUUUGCAGGUCUUGUUCUGAGCCGUAUGUACUGCUGUGCAUCGCAAGGAUCCAUUAUGGCAGAUUAGGGCUUGUAAGAAUGCAAAGAUAGGUAGAGGAUCUGACCCUAGGAUUCUCAGACAUCCAUCUUUGUAGUUCUUGGAAUAAACCAUUGUCUUAGCAGGUUAUUCCUCCAGGGUACUGUGAGCCUCAUCAGCUCGCCAUCAGUCUCACCUCGGUCAUCUAAUCUUGCGUUCUCUCAGUCCUUGCAGUCAUUCCUCUUGCCAUGAGAUUUCUGUCCCUGUUGCGUCCCCAUUGUUUGUCACGUCCUGUCCCGUGUCACAGGUGUCUGCACAUAUUUGUGCCGGAGCUGCUCUGCCCUGCUGCAUAGCCUGGUGUAAUAGGACAAAUCCUGGGGGCUUGAAAUUUGUAAUGUGGGGUGUAGUUGGAUUCUAGAUGGGAUUUGUAGAUGGACACAAGGUGCCUGGAGCAGUGAAAUUAUCCUGCAGCCCUUUGACAUUUGUCCUGACUUUCUUUCAGAUGCAGGCGGAUAAAAUCUGUGGCAGAGCACCCCAUCCCGGCUGAGGGGGUUCCUCUGAGCAGGAAGUAAAGCUGGAUAUCAGCAGUCAAGGCAAUCCAUUCGGAGUAUGCCGAGCCCGCCCCCCAGCCGGCCGAUGGAUCAGGUUUGCCGCUGUUGUGAGCCCUGUGGAGGAUCACAGGACUCUGCGAUGAAGCCCUGAACCUUUCUGUUUCAAGGUGCCAUCCGGCUGGCCUUUGUCAGCCGCUGAGGAGUUGCGGUGAGUCAGGGAAUAGGGAGGAGGCGUGAGGGUCCGCUCAUGUUUCAGCAAUGCCACAUCUCCCUGUCUCCCCUUAAACCAGGCACACCCUGCCACGAUGGCAUCGGCCUCCAAGCAUUGCUGAAGCUAAUGGCAUUAGGAGAUGGUGAGUAGCGGAAGAGUUGGGUUUUGGGCAAUAUGCUGGUAAGACCAUACACUGAUGUUUUCAUUUCUUUAAUGUAGCUAUGAGGCAGCAGCCCAGUGACAGCGGGAAUUUCCCAGAUGGCGAGGUGGCCUUCUUUUCCACCUGAUGCAGAUUGGCAUCCCCAGAUGUCUGAGAGAUAAGUCGAGGGCUACGACUUGCCGAGGGGGUGAAUGCGGGGUGCUGGGUUGGGACUCGCCGGGAGGGGUUUUUGAGUCAGCUUUGGGGCUGAGGCUAUCCAAGAAGUGUCCCCUUAGGCCACAUAAAGGGAAAGUGUCACUUUUGAUCCCAGCGCUGAGGUGCGCAGGGUAGAGCAGUCCCGGUG